UCAGAUCACAUGAUGAACAAAACACUGGUCUCUCGUCAUGAGGAGAGGAGACGAGGAGAUGAGACGAGGAGAGGCGAUGAGGAGAGGAGAUAAGGAACCAGAUCCUCUCAGAAGACAACCCACGUGCAAACAGGCACUACGUUUGAAUUGGCAUUCUCAUGUGUUCAUGGAGCAGGUGCCUCAUCCGUGUACCAACACGGGCCAUCUGCAGGCCCCAGAGUGGAGCUAUGAUGAGCUGCAGUAUGGGAGGUUUCUGGCAGUUUCCCCCUCAGAUGAGCCUGGUUUUCUGGGAUUUCUGGGAGGCUGAGAGGCCCUGAGAGCAGAGCCUGAAGAGACGCCCACGGGCAGGGGUCUGGAUGGAGGAGCGUGGAGAUAAGAACGCAGACUCAUGCGGAGACUGCAGGGGGCCGCGAUCCUAGCAGGGAGGAGAACGCGUGGGUGCUCUCUGCAGACCCACUCGCUCCCCCGAAGGGCCCAGCCCACAUAAACACUGUUUCCUCCUACAUUAGUACCUCCUGAGUCAUCAGAAAACAGAGAACAUUGAAUCAUGACGGCACGACGCAGAACCCUAGAGGCGGCCAUUAGUGAGGACAUUCGCUCAUUAACCUGGUAUUUGGAAAACUUCCCCGCAGACGCUUGCACACAAUGUUGUGUUGUUCUGUUGUUAAGAGGGGAUUAAAAAAGGCCAUUACAGCACCCCCUGCUGGCCCAAGAGGCUGCAUUUUCCCCUUUCCUCGACUGCCUGCCUGAGCGUGAGUUGAUAUUGAGGACAUGUCUGUCUCUGGUUUCCUGCUGUUUAUGUCUUGAUGUCUCGCGUGAUGAAUUCACAUCUUUAGUUAAUUGGCGGAUAUUUCAGUAAUUAUUUUAUCCAAGGGACUUGUGGCCGGGAAAACUCUACAUUACCCCGAUUGAAUGUUGUUCUGAAAGGCUUUAUGUUUAGGAGUUUAUGCCAAUAAAACAUGUGUUCUAUCCAA